GGAAGGAUCAUUACCGUGGGGGUGAUUCCCAUCGAGAUAGCACCCUUUGUCUAUGAGUACCUCUUGUUUCCCCGGCGGGUGAUUCCGCCAACGGGGACCCCAUAAACCCUUUGCAGUUGCAGUCAACCUCUGAUAACAACCAAUUAUUAAAACUUUCAACAACGGAUCUCUUGGCUCUGGCAUCGAUGAAGAACGCAGCGAAAUGCGAUAAGUAGUGUGAAUUGCAGAAUUCAGUGAAUCAUCGAAUCUUUGAACGCACAUUGCGCCCUUCGGUAUUCCGUAGGGCAUGCCUGUUCGAGCGUCAUUGAAAAACCUUCAAGCCCUGCUUGGUGUUGGGUGUUUGUCCCGCCCCGGUGCGUGGACUCGCCUCAAAACUAUUGGCGGCCGGUUUACUGGCUUUGGUGCAGCACAACGCGCCACAAGCACACUGAAUCUGGCCCCCAGAAGCCCCUUCUAAGUUUGACCUCGGAUCAGGUAGGGAUACCCGCUGAACUUAAGCAUAUCAAUAAGCGGAGGAAAAGAAACCAACAGGGAUUGCCCUAGUAACGGCGAGUGAAGCGGCAUCAGCUCAAAUUUGAAAUCUGGCCCUUUCAGGGUCCGAGUUGUAAUUUGUAGAGGGCGCUUUGGCGUUGGCAGCGGUCUAAGUUCCUUGGAACAGGACGUCACAGAGGGUGAGAAUCCCGUUUGUGGUCGCGUGUCUUCGCCGUGUAAAGCCCCUUCGACGAGUCGAGUUGUUUGAGAAUGCAGCUCUAAAUGGGAGGUAAAUUUCUUCUAAAGCUAAAUACUGGCCAGAGACCGAUAGCGCACAAGUAGAGUGAUCGAAAGAUGAAAAGCACUUUGGAAAGAGAGUCAAAAAGCACGUGAAAUUGUUGAAAGGGAAGCGCUUGCAGCCAGACUUGCCUGUAGUUGCUCAUUCGGAGUCUUCUCCGGUGUACUCUUCUGCAGGCAGGCCAGCAUCAGUUCAGGCGGCUGGAGAAAGGUCUAUGUCAUGUAGCUCUCUUCGGGGAGUGUUAUAGGGUAGACGGAAUGCAGCCAGCUUGAACUGAGGUCUGCGCAUCUGCUAGGAUGCUGGCGUAAUGGCUGUAAGCGGCCCGUCUUGAAACACGGACCAAGGAGUCUAACAUCUAUGCGAGUGUUUGGGUGUCAAGCCCGAGCGCGUAAUGAAAGUGAACGGAGGUGGGAUCCCCUCGGGGUGCACCAUCGACCGAUCCUGAUGUCUUCGGAUGGAUUUGAGUAAGAGCAUAGCUGUUGGGACCCGAAAGAUGGUGAACUAUGCCUGAAUAGGGUGAAGCCAGAGGAAACUCUGGUGGAGGCUCGCAGCGGUUCUGACGUGCAAAUCGAUCGUCAAAUUUGGGCAUAGGGGCGAAAGACUAAUCGAACCAUCUAGUAGCUGGUUCCUGC
rnacentral:misc_RNA from 1 species